rnacentral:rRNA from 1 species
UGCGUAGGCGGUUCCGCAAGUCCGCUGUGAAAUCCCCGGGCUCAACCUGGGAAUGGCAGUGGAAACUAGGGGACUUGAAUCUGGCAGAGGGGGUGGAAUGCCACGUGUAGCAGUGAAAUGCGUAGAGAUGUGGCGGAACACCGAUGGCGAAGGCAGCCCCCUGGGCUGAGAUUGACGCUCAGGCACGAAAGCGUGGGGAGCAAACAGGAUUAGAUACCCUGGUAGUCCACGCCCUAAACGAUGAUCACUAGGUGUUGGGGAAGCGAUUUCUCAGUACCGCAGCUAACGCGUGAAGUGAUCCGCCUGGGGAGUACGGUCGCAAGAUUAAA